GAUGAACGCUGGCGGCGCGCCUAACACAUGCAAGUCGAACGAUUAAAGCACCUUCGGGUGUGUAUAAAGUGGCGAACGGCUGAGUAACACGUGGGCAACCUGCCCCUUUCAUUGGGAUAGCCACGGGAAACCGUGGAUAAUACCGAAUACUUCGAGACUUCCGCAUGGAAGACUCGAGAAAGCUCCGGCGGAGAGGGAUGGGCCCGCGGCCUGUUAGCUUGUUGGUGGGGUAACGGCCUACCAAGGCAAUGAUGGGUAGCUGGGUUGAGAGACCGACCAGCCAGAUUGGGACUGAGACACGGCCCAGACUCCUACGGGAGGCAGCAGUGGGGAAUCUUGCACAAUGGGCGAAAGCCUGAUGCAGCGACGCCGCGUGCGGGAUGAAGGCCUUCGGGUUGUAAACCGCUUCCAGCAGGGACGAGGCGAAAGUGACGGUACCUGCAGAAGAAGCCCCGGCUAACUACGU
rnacentral:rRNA from 1 species